rnacentral:rRNA from 1 species
GACGAACGCUGGCGGCGUGCUUAACACAUGCAAGUCGAACGGAAAGGCCCUGCUUUUGUGGGGUGCUCGAGUGGCGAACGGGUGAGUAACACGUGAGUAACCUGCCCUUGACUUUGGGAUAACUUCAGGAAACUGGGGCUAAUACCGGAUAGGAGCUCCUGCUGCAUGGUGGGGGUUGGAAAGUUUCGGCGGUUGGGGAUGGACUCGCGGCUUAUCAGCUUGUUGGUGGGGUAGUGGCUUACCAAGGCUUUGACGGGUAGCCGGCCUGAGAGGGUGACCGGCCACAUUGGGACUGAGAUACGGCCCAGACUCCUACGGGAGGCAGCAGUGGGGAAUAUUGCCCAAUGGGCGGAAGCCUGAUGCAGCAACGCCGCGUGCGGGAUGACGGCCUUCGGGUUGUAAACCGCAUUCGCCUGUGACGAAGCGUGAGUGACGGUAAUGGGUAAAGAAGCACCGGCUAACUACGUG